rnacentral:rRNA from 1 species
AUUGAACGCUGGCGGCAGGCUUAACACAUGCAAGUCGAGCGGGGUGAUGGUGCUUGCACUAUCACUUAGCGGCGGACGGGGGAGUAAUGCUUAGGAAUCUGCCUAUUAGUGGGGGACAACAUCUCGAAAGGGAUGAUAAUACCGCAUACGUCCUACGGGAGAAAGCAGGGGAUGACCUGUGACCUUGCGCUAAUAGAGGAGCCUAAGUCGGAUUAGCUAGUUGGUGGGGUAAAGGCCUACCAAGGCGACGAUCUGUAGCGGGUCUGAGAAGAUGGUCCGCCACACUGGGACUGAGACACGGCCCAGACUCCUACGGGAGGCAGCAGUGGGGAAUAUUGGGCAAUGGGGGGAACCCUGAUCCAGCCAUGCCGCGUGUGUGAAGAAGGCCUUAUGGUUGUAAAGCACUUUAAGCGAGGAGGAGGCUCUUUUGGUUAAUACCCAAGAUGAGUGGACGUUACUCGCAGAAUAAGCACCGGCUAACUCUGUGCCAGCCGCCGCCGUAA